rnacentral:rRNA from 1 species
AGGAUGAGCCCGCGGCCUAUCAGCUUGUUGGUGAGGUAACGGCUCACCAAGGCGACGACGGGUAGCCGGCCUGAGAGGGCGACCGGCCACACUGGGACUGAGACACGGCCCAGACUCCUACGGGAGGCAGCAGUGGGGAAUAUUGCACAAUGGGCGAAAGCCUGAUGCAGCGACGCCGCGUGAGGGAUGACGGCCUUCGGGUUGUAAACCUCUUUCAGCAGGGAAGAAGCGCAAGUGACGGUACCUGCAGAAGAAGCGCCGGCUAACUACGUGCCAGCAGCCGCGGUAAUACGUAGGGCGCGAGCGUUGUCCGGAAUUAUUGGGCGUAAAGAGCUCGUAGGCGGCUUGUCGCGUCGGUUGUGAAAGCCCGGGGCUUAACCCCGGGUCUGCAGUCGAUACGGGCAGGCUAGAGUUCGGUAGGGGAGAUCGGAAUUCCUGGUGUAGCGGUGAAAUGCGCAGAUAUCAGGAGGAACACCGGUGGCGAAGGCGGAUCUCUGGGCCGAUACUGACGCUGAGGAGCGAAAGCGUGGGGAGCGAACAGGAUUAGAUACCCUGGUAGUCCACGCCGUAAACGGUGGGCACUAGGUGUGGGCGACAUUC